AGAGAAAGCCAGCUCCCUGAACCUAGGCCACCCAUCGCCACCCUGCCUGUCAUCUCUCUCUAGCCCCCCACCUCCCCAGGAGUCCCUAGCGGCCCACGCUGAUGUUGCAGGUUUUGCAGCUGGGGUCUUUCUUGGCGUCAGCAGUGGACAGGCUCAUGAGCUGGUGCCCGCUGAUCUCCCCCAAGGUGCCCAGGGACAGGUCGACGGGCUCGGUAUAGAUGAUCUCCAGGAUGAGGUCCUGGGCAUGGCGGAAGAUCAGCUCCCCAUCCUCCACGCUGCAGGUCAGGAACUUGUUGCAGGCAAUGUCCAGGAGGGGCAGGCGGUCACGGCAGAAGCGGUCCCCCAGGGAGCCCUUGGGGGCCAGCACCAGGAUGGCGUAGUGCUGAAGAAGACGCCGUGGAGCAUGCCACUGGUUGGAGAGCCAUGGCUGCCGCUGUUGUCCUUCAGGCUCUCCAUCUGUAGGCUGAGUGGGUUGGACCAGAUCAUCAAUUGGAUUGAAUAUUUCUGGACUACAGAGCCCCUCUCUUUCUUCCCCGAAGGAAAUUAUACAUAGGCGGUCCAUAGGCAAUAAAAUUGAAGAUGCUCCAGCUGAAUGAUAGGUGUGGGGCCCACCAAGACUCAGCCUGAUUUCUUCAACAACCCGUCAGUACCCCCUCUCCCCCCACCCCAAAGUGCCCUGAGAUAGCUUCCUGGAGCCUCCAGGCUAUCCAGCACACAGUUGGAAAACAAUGACCCUUCAUGCAUGGAAACCUGUCGCUCUGUGCUACCCUCACCACCUCCCCCAGGGACCCAGGGCUUGAACUGGAGAGAUGGCUGACCCUUGGCAUUAGAACCCAGUGAAAGGAACUGUCCCAAAGGAGGAACAAACCCGAGAUCUCGUUCACCCAGGCCAGUUAGCAUGGUUCCCCCAGGCAGCCCCAUCCCAAGGAGAGUCCUCUCCUUCCUUGGAGCCCAAUCCCAAACAGCCAGCCACCCCCCCCCCCCCCCCCCCGCCCCAGAGCCAGCCUGUGAUAAGAUGCCAUGGGGACUCUGGUCUGGCAAUGAAAAGGUGGGGGUGAUGUCAGACAGCCAGGGCUGUGUGGGCAAAGCAGAGCCAGGGGAGGAAGGAGAGACCCAGGCCCUGCUAGGGGCCAUGCUGUACCUGGCAUGCUGGAAGUACUCCUUGUGGUGGUUGCGGUAGAAGACAGAGAAGCGGAGCAUGCGGCCUGCGAUCUGUUCAGCCUUCUCCUGCAGCUGGGCCAGGUGUUCCUUGGCAUAGUCUGCAAGAGUCCAGGCUGGUAAGCCCAGGGCCAGACUGAGCAUCACAGCCUCCCACACUCACCCACUGUGCACAUUGAACACCAGCCCACAACUGUCCUCAGAGCAACAGGGGAUACCAAAGAGUUACAGCACCUUGGACCACAUAGGAACAGGCCAGGUGGCCCAGCUGGGAACAUGGACAGCUGGGUGCACCUCUGCACCCUCGCUGCCAGAGGCUCUGAGUCAGAAAGGGGCAGGGGCUGCCCAGUUAGACAAUCACGCUGGGGACCCCAGGAGCUGUAAUCACUAGCUAUCCUCAUGUGAAGAGGACCAGCAAGCAAAGGAAGGAUUGAGAGGGGAGAAUUUGAGGUCCUCUAGGGAGAACUCAAACCCAGCAGGCAAAAGGCUGUGGAAGCCAGUGGUAAUUACAGGUGGGGGCUCAUGAGGAGAUCACAGAGCACUGAAGUGAAUGGUUAGCCAGACCAGGGUCUGAGGCAGUGAGUGCAUCUGCACCCCAGGAGAAGCAGGGAAGGCUGGAAACAGGAUGGUAAGAUUGGACACCUCCCAGGGCCAGGAUCAGAGUCUGGGGCCCUGGGGCCCAGGCAGGGCGGCUGCUAGCCAAGACAGAGCCUUUGUACAAAUUAGAAAAAGGUGCCCUUUCCUCCUUGCUGAUGUAGCCCUGGCCAGGGUGCUGGGUUUGGCAAGAGUAGUGUGGACUGGACUGCAGCCAUCCCCAACUCCCCAGUUUGAAUUAAACUUCCACCACGUGUGGAGUUCUGGGGUAAACCCAGAGGCUUUCCCCACAAGGAGUGGGAGCACCUCCAGAGAGUGGGGUUUUGCAGCCAAGCUAAGAAAAAGCACCACUCAAAAGAGAAUGGCAUGUCAAGGAGACUUGGGGCAUAGGCCUUGGCAGAGGAUGGAACCAGCAGCUUCAGAGGCCCGGGGCUAAGAAUGUUCCCUGCCCCUUCCUUGUGACAGAGAGAGAUCUGGAGCAAUUCUCACUGUGGACACCAAAGGAAUGGAAUAUUGUGGGGCAGAUCGUGGGUCAUCCACGACCAAGUACACAUAAGCCUGGUGUUUGUUCAUGCUGGAAUUUGCCAACUGAAUUCUGCUAAGAGGUUUGCAGGACCACCGAACAGGGGUCAUUUUCCAGGCUAAGUGGAGCCUCAAGACAAGCAAAUGUGAUGACCUACUGAGUAUCCAUCUACCGACGAUGGAUGAACAAUGUGUAGUCCGCACAUACAAUUGUUCAGCCUUGUAGAGGAAGGACGUUUUGACAUAUGCUCAACGUGGAUGAAUCUUGGGGACAUUAUGCUGAGCAAAAUAAGCCAGUUGCAGAAGGACAAAUACUGUGAUUCCCCUCACGUGAAGUACCAACAGUAGUCAAAUGUACAGACCCAGAAAGUGGAAUGGUGGUUGCCAGGGACUGGAGAGAGGAGGGAAGGGAGAGCUGCUGUUUAAUGGGGUUAGAGUUUCAGUUUGGGAAGUUGAAAUAGUUCUGGAGGUCAGUGGCACACCAGUGUGAACGUACUUAAUACUACUGAGCUAUACAUUUAACAAUGGUUAAAAUGGGAAAUUUUGUGUUGGUGUGCAUUUUACUACAGUUCAGAAAAACAUGCUUGCCCCAAGCCAGAAAAGUAAUUCCAUGCCUGUACGGGAAUGGUAUUGUCAACAUGUUUAGCAGGGCUCACGUCUGCCUCCUGUGUCAGACUGCAGGUUUGUUGCGGGCAGGGGCGAGGCUCAUCCAUGAGUAUCUCCCUGACAGCCUGAGCAUAGAGCCUGUAUACAGCAGGUGUUCCUAAGUGUGUGCUGGGGUAAGAUCACAACUAAGCCAGAUGUGCUAAAGCAGCAGGACAGCAGGGCCUCACCCCCAGUGCAGAACUCGACUGUCUCACUCCAGCCCGACACCAGGUACUCUCCAUCACUCUGCUUUACGGCGGUCUGCACGGCC